UACGUAGGGGGCAAGCGUUGUUCGGAAUUACUGGGCGUAAAGGGCGCGUAGGCGGCUCGGCAAGUCGGGAGUGAAAGCCCGGGGCUCAACCCCGGAACGGCUCUCGAAACUGCCGGGCUCGAGUGCGGAAGAGGCAACCGGAAUUCCCAGUGUAGCGGUGAAAUGCGUAGAUAUUGGGAAGAACACCUGAGGCGAAGGCGGGUUGCUGGGCCGACACUGACUCUGAUGCGCGAAAGCCAGGGGAGCGAACGGG
rnacentral:rRNA from 1 species